rnacentral:lncRNA from 1 species
GCACUUGCAGCUUUCAGAACCUUCAGGCUUUGCUACACCACAGAAAGUCACCCCGGCCCAAUUGCAAGAGUUUACAACUUGAAUUUAACCCUCCUUUCAACACAGGGCACCCAGACGUCCUCUUUCCUACCUGGAUUCUGUAGCAGAUCCUUUAGCUCAGACUGGCCUGGAAUUCACUAUGAGUAGCCCAAACAGGCUUUGAACUUCAGGCAACCAUCCUGCCUCAGCCUUCCCAGUGUUGGAUGAUUUACAAGUGCGAAUCACCAUGCCUAUCUUCUGUAUUCCUCAUAGAUGAUAGAUGCACAUCAGACCCAUCCCCCAGUUUUAGAUAAAGUUUCAUCUCAGUUUUGAAAUUC